rnacentral:rRNA from 1 species
UAACUUCGGGAGAAGGUGCGCUUACAGUAAUUGUAGUCCCUUGCGGAUGAAGGUGAAGUAAGUCGAAGAUACCAGCUGGCUGCAACUGUUUAUUAAAAAACACAGCACUCUGCAAACACGAAAGUGGACGUAUAGGGUGUGAUGCCUGCCCGGUGCUGGAAGGUUAAAUUGAUGGUGUUAUCGAAAGAGAAGCUCCUGAUCGAAGCCCCAGUAAACGGCGGCCGUAACUAUAACGGUCCUAAGGUAGCGAAAUUCCUUGUCGGGU